CAUGCAAGUCGAACGCAGUAGCAAUACUGAGUGGCAAACGGGUGAGUAACAUGUGGGUAUCUGCCCUUCGGCCUGGAAUAACACGAGGAAACUUGUGCUAAUACCGGAUAAGUCUUUACAGAGAAAGCUUUAUGCACCGAUGGAUGAGCCCGCACCUGAUUAGUUAGUUGGUGAGGUAAUGGCUCACCAAGACAAUGAUCAGUAGCUGAUUUGAGAGGAUGAUCAGCCACAUUGGGACUGAGACACGGCCCAAACUCCUACGGGAGGCAGCAGUGGGGAAUCUUGCACAAUGGGGGAAACCCUGAUGCAGCGAUGCCGCGUGAGUGAAGAAGGCCUUUGGGUUGUAAAGCUCUUUCGUCGGGGAAGAAAAUGACUGUACCCGAAUAAGAAGGUCCGGCUAACUUCGUGCCAGCAGCCGCGGUAAUACGAAGGGACCUAGCGUAGUUCGGAAUUACUGGGCUUAAAGAGUUCGUAGGUGGUUAAAAAAGUUGGUGGUGAAAUCCCAGAGCUUAACUCUGGAACUGCCAUCAAAACUUUUUAGCUAGAGUAUGAUAGAGGAAAGUAGAAUUUCUAGUGUAGAGGUGAAAUUCGUAGAUAUUAGAAAGAAUACCGAUUGCGAAGGCAACUUUCUGGAUCAUUACUGACACUGAGGAACGAAAGCAUAGGUAGCGAAGAGGAUUAGAUACCCUCGUAGUCCAUGCCGUAAACGAUGUGUGCUAGACGUUGGAAAUUUAUUUU
rnacentral:rRNA from 1 species